rnacentral:rRNA from 1 species
AUUGAACGCUGGCGGCAGGCCUAACACAUGCAAGUCGAACGAGUGGCGGACGGGUGAGUAAUGUCUGGGAAACUGCCCGAUGGAGGGGGAUAACUACUGGAAACGGUAGCUAAUACCGCAUACCAUCGGAUGUGCCCAGCUGGGAUUAGCUAGUAGGUGGGGUAACGGCUCACCUGGGCGACGAUCCCUAGCUGGUCUGAGAGGAUGACCAGCCACGCAGGAACAGCGAGACGGUCCAGACUCCUACGGGCGGCAGCAGGGGGGGAUAUUGCAAAAUGGGCGCAGGCCUGAUGCAGACAUGCCGCGUGUAUGAAGAAGGCCUUCGGGUUGUAAAGUACUGUCAGCGAGGAGGCGUUACUCGCAGAAGAAGCACCGGCUAACUCCGUGCCAGCAGCCGCGGUAAUAC